rnacentral:rRNA from 1 species
UAGCGUUGUUCGGAAUUACUGGGCGUAAAGCGCACGUAGGCGGCUUUGCAAGUUAGAGGUGAAAGCCCGGGGCUCAACUCCGGAAUUGCCUUUAAAACUGCAUCGCUAGAAUUGUGGAGAGGUAAGUGGAAUUCCGAGUGUAGAGGUGAAAUUCGUAGAUAUUCGCAAGAACACCAGUGGCGAAGGCGGCUCACUGGCCCGGUACUGACGCUGAGGUGCGAAAGCGUGGGGAGCAAACAGG